UGGCACAGUUUCUAUACACAAUAUAUAUCAUAAUUUGGCACAGAUGACACAAUUCAUAGCACUGUUCCAUAGCAAAUCUGACACAGUUCAUAGCACUGUUCCAUAACACAUUCAUAUCAAAUACCACACAGAGUAUACCAAAUGCCCAUAGCGAGCUAGUCCAUAGCAAAUAUAAGAGUACAAAGUUUUCCAUAGCAAGAGUACAAAGUUUUCCAUAGCAAAUGAACAAAGCAGGCAUCAGUACAUAAAAUUUGGCACUACAACAAAUGUCUUCAUGUCCAUAUCAUAGUCCAAAGAGCAUCUGUGUGGCAACCUACAAGAUGAAAUCAUCAACAUGUCAAAUUUUGGUAUAAUAAAAAACGGGCUUUAAAUCAUCAAGAUGCCGAAUAGACAAAAGAAAGUACUUGAAGACCUGUCCAAUUUUGAACAUGUCAAUUUAACAUUCUAGAUCAUGAAGAUCUUCACGAAUGGUCUCUAAAUCAUGAAAACAAAUAGCUACUUGUUUCUACUUAUAAGAUUGAUUCAUUUUAACACUGUAAAUCAUGAAUAUCUUUGAGUGCUCUCUAAAUCAUGAAUACAAAUAGCUUCAACUGGUCUCUAAAUCAUGAAAAUAAAUAGCUUCAAGAAUGCAUAUAGCUAUUAAGAUCAUGGUUGAAAUGGUUCAAAUCUAUCAUGGUUUCAAAUGGUCUCUACUUGUCUCUAUUAUAAGUUUGAUCUUCAAAUGGUUCAAACGGUCUCUACUUACAAGUUUCUAAAUCAUGGAGAUCAUCAAAUGGUCUCUAAAUCAUAAAAAUAAAUAGCUAUGUGUCUCUAAUUAUAAGACUGAUUCAACUUAACACUCUAAAUCAUGAAUAAAAAUAGCUUCAAGUGGUCUCUAAAUCAUGAAAAUAAAUGGUCUCUACUUGUUUCUACUUAAAAAUUUGAUCUUCAAAUGGUUCGAAUGGUCUCUACUUGCAAGAUUCUAAAUCAUGGAGAUCUUCAAAUGGUGUCUAAAUCUUGAAAAUAAAUAGAUACUUGUCUCUAAAUCAUGAAUAUCUUCAAAUGGUCUCUAAAUCAUGAAUAUCUUCAAAUGGUCUCUAAAUCAUGAAUAUCUUCAAAUGGUCUCUAAAUCAUGAAAAUCAUGGAGAUAUGUAGGCACUAACCAUACUUGAUCUCAAAGAUUCGGAGAACCGCCAUGGUCAUUGGCGUUUGGGCCUGGUGCAUGUGAAGAUCUAUCAUUAUUUGACCCAUGGCCUGAUUGAUGCUGCAAAGCAUUACAUGGUUAGCACAAAACUCGGACUAAGAAAUGCAAUAAUGGUGCAUGCAAGUAUUUCAGAUAACUAACCAUAGGGGGUGAAGCAAUGUCAGGCAUCUGCAUAGCGGGCAUACCAUUCUGGGUACAAUAAUCCUGCAAAUUAUGUUUGAGGAGUGAAAGUUAAGUACUGGUAGUAAAAGACUAGAUGUACGUGCAAGGCUAUUAAGGAACUAACCGCAAACAUUGCAAAGUACUGUUGCAUCCUCUCAUCCGCUAGUCGCCUCUCCUCCACCCUCUUCUCAUCCGCCAGUCGCCUCUCCUCCGCCAACCUCUCCUCCAACUUCUCAUCUAGCAGUCGCCUCUGCUCCUCCAGUCGAGACUACAGAAUAUGGCAUUGCAAUCACAUCUUCAAAUCCAACACUAAGAAUUAAAAUAAGCAUACAUAGAAGGACUUGGAUAGAAUACCUCCAUCGCAACCAUUGCUGGAGUCGAGCGUUGACAUAUAGAAGAUGUUGAGAUACCCGACCGAGCUUUGUACUCGGGGAGAGUGCGACGGGAGGACCUAGGAAACAUGCCACCUCCAAUCGCUUCCUUGCCAUGUUUCCUACCACCUCCAGAGAUCAUAACCACCUCGUGGUCAAGGGGCUCCGAUGUCACAUCAUACUCAGGCCCUCUCAUCUCUUUUGCCUUCCUUUUAAAUUUGUCCAUUCGAUCGUAGGCGGUCUUGCUGGUGUAGGCAGGUAAUGUGUCAUUCUCAUCGUAAGGCGUGGCAGAUCGGAACGAUCCCUUAUGGGCCAAAGUGUACGCCACAAAAAGGUUGGGCUUCGGAGCCUUAUUGUGAGAUGCCUGCAACCAAAGCAACAUGAUUAAGACUUCAUCAUAAGGAUUGGCAACAUGUAUGACAAGAAAAAGCUUAUGAAGAACAAAUCGAUGGGAAGAAAGACAUACCCAACAUUGGCCGAACCCCUUAAGGUUCAAGCUGCCUUGAUGGUGUGGUGGAUCCUCCAUUGCGGCUCGCCGAUUUUUAUAAUCUAGGUUUUUCUCCCUAUACUCUUUGGAACACCAGUAGUCCAUGAUCCGCUCCCAGCACUCCCCUUGUCGACACACCAUCUCGGAGUAACCUAAUUGAUCAAUUGCAUCUCAUAUACAUCAAAAAGAAAUUGAGUGCCAGCCUGUUGAGGAAAUAACAAGCAUGAACAUGCUUUACCUUCAUGUACUCUUCCAUCUUAAGAUGGAGGUUCCUACAUGGUUUCUUAUCAACACUCCUAUAGCCUUGAGUUGCCUUAUACUUGCGGACGGUUAAAGGGCGCGCCUCAUGCAUCAGAUUGCGCACAAGCUUCUUGCAAUGGUGGUUGAUGAUUGCUCGUGCCUCCUCCAAGUUCCCAUCCUCGCAUCUAUAGAAAUCCUGCAAAUACACGCAAGACCAAUCGAGAUUAGGCAAUUGACUAGCUAUGAAUUAUAGAUAUGUAGUGUGUGAAGGAAACUUAAUGAUUACCCAAAGUUCGGCAAAGACCCGCUCCGCUUUGUUGUGAAACUCGAUGUUGUUGGCUACACCAAGAUCCUCAUAGGCUAUGUAGUGGUACCAAGUCCGUGCUGGCUCCGGAACAUUGCCCUCCCCAGGCAAAGUAACCAUGCCAGGGUAAUGCUCCCUCAAGAGGAUCCCAAGGACGCCAUUCACGAGCCGGUGCUUCUUACCUUGGGAAUCUCCAACUAUCGUCCAACCGCUACAUAAUGAGAAGCCAAAGUUAUUAGCAAUUGUCGUAAACAUUGAAGGUAGAAAAUGGGAAGACAAAGUUACUUUACCUUUCUCCAUAUGGAGCAAUACAUGGCCUCUGCUCGACAGGAAGCCCUCGUUCUGGGAGCCCUGACGAACCACGCAUGUACACGGUUCGACCCUCCUCAACUUGGAUAAAACCAUCAUUCUCCUCGUCGGUGGUCAGGGCCCCCGACCGAUCCGCAUCCUCCUCCGGCGACAACCGCUCAUCCACCCUCUCUUCCUUAGACAUGGGGGAGUGAGACACCGGCUCAUCCUCCACCCCCUCAUCCUCAGGUGGUGUCAAGACAGGUGGUGGCGAGGGAGGCCGAACCGGGUUUCUCCUAGCCUUUCCUCCACCUCUUCCCCGGCCUCUUCCUUUUACUCGAUGAGCCUGAGAGGAAGCCCGAGGAGGAUCGUCGAGAAAACUGCCAAUCAAAUUUCUCGCUAGGGUAAGUGGGGCCUUAUUUGCCGGGUUACCCCUUUUCCGUUGCAAUCCCACCAUGCUUCACUCACCUGCCAUGACAAAAAGUAAGCAGUUAGUACAAAUGUAACAUUAUAGUUCAAAUAAAUAAGCAUAAGUCCAAAGAAUUGGCGCAAUGAGAAUUACUAAGGCAAUUAUAGUACAAAUACAUUAUAGUUGAAAUAAAGAAGCAUAAGUUCAAAGAAUUGUCGAAAUGAGAAUUACUAAGGCAAUUAUAGUACAAAUACAUUAUAGUUGAAAUAAAGAAGCAUAGUUUCAAAGAAUUGUCGAAAUGAGAAUUACUAAGGCAAUUAUAGUACAAAUAGUACAUUGUAGUUCUCAUAAAUAAGCAUGUGUUCAAAAAUAAUACAAAUUCAAUGUUACAACAUGUUCAUGAUCACUCGGGUCAUGGUAACCCAACUAGUACAAAAUCAACAUUACAGUUCAACACUACAACUAAAAAUAGUUGGGAUCAUCCGGAUCACAAUCCGUAUCUUCUUCGGGGUCAGUUCGGGACUCAUCAUCGGUAUCACGCGUGUCGUCAAGGAUGUCGUUCUCGUGUUCACCGUCAUCGUCACUAUCAUCGGCAAUGCCUAGACGUAACCGUUCAAGCAUUGAUAGGUCUUCCACAUUCGUAACCUCUUCUUCCUCUUCGGCUUCUUCUUCAUCAUUGUCAAUGUGUACUUCCAUGCGUGUAUGGAUGUUGGGACAGCCUCUAGGCCCAUGUUCUUCUUGGAAGAAUUCUCCAUCAUAUGUGUCGGGGUUGAUGUGAGGUUCAUAAUCCUCUUAAUUGGGGGGAGGAUGUUUACGAUGUGGCGGCACAUCGUACACGACAUCCCAACCCUUAAGGUACUUCUUUUGGCAUGAAUACUUGAGAUAAAAAACCUGUGUCGCCUGUUGAGCCACAAUAUAGACAUCUUCGCAUUCUAAUUUGCUGUCUUGUCGAAUUUCGACUUGCCCAAUAUCAUCUCUUCGCCUAACCUUCUCGGGAUCGAACCAAUGGCAUUUGAAGACGACGACUUUUGGAGGAUUUGCCCCAAAGUAAUGCAGUUCAUAUAUUUCAUCAACUCUUCCAUAAUACUCAACUCCAUUGCAAAUAGCCGACACUUCGGUGUUUCUUGUUUUUAGAACGGCCCGACGUUCCUCGUUCCCAUGUGUGCGGAAGAGAUACCCAUUGAUGUCGUAAUUAUCGAACGUACCGACCUUAUAGUCAAACCCAUUAACAACUUGUUUCAAUUCUUUGUCCAAUAUUGACGCACCCUACAAGUUUAAGCGGAAAAGAUUAUUGUAUUACUCGCCCGUAAUACCAACUUCAAGUCUACAUAAUAAGAAGUAUACCUUUGCUCUGAACCAAGAAAUGCAACCGUAAUUGCCGUCUCCUUCACCAACAAGAAGCUCAUACUCUUCAAGUGAAUCAGGUUCGACCCCUCCAUCAGAGAAUUGGGAAACGAAUUCACUUUGCAAUGAGAAAUGAGCGGAGUUAGAUACAAACAUAUGAGUAGAUGUUACAUAAUGUACCAAUCACUUACUCAAUGUACGGCCGCACUUCUUUUAGGUUGGUGAGGAUAUACAACGUAAGCGAUCUCCACUCUUUUGGAUCCAAUAUCUUUGAACCAGAAGCACCCACAGGUGCGAGUUGGCCUUUGAAAAGGCUGAGCUUGGAUUCAUGCAUGGGGUCGCCAGUAUUGUAACGAGACUUUGCAUUAUGCAAGCUUGGAAUAUUGGCCGCAUAGCGUGAUGUGCUGAAGUUUGACAUCUCCUCCGCCAAGAAUGCCUCGGCUAUGGAUGCUUCAAUUCUACGUUUAUUUCUACAUUUAGCUCGAAGAGUCUUUUGCAUUCUCUCAAGUCCAUAGCACCAACGGUUCUGCACAGGGCCACCCAUUCUUACCUCGGAAGGGAGGUGUAAAAUCAUAUGUUCCAUCGGAUUAAAGAAGCCCGGUGGAAAGAUCUUCUCUAGCUUGCAGAGCAACUCGGGGGCCCGUUUUUCCAUGUCAUCUAUCACGGUAGGAGAUACUUCUUUAGCACAAAGAACACGGAAGAAAUAGCUAAGCUCUGCCAAUACUUCCCAAUCAUCCUCAGGGAUAUAGCCUCGAAUCAUCACGUGCAUUAACCGCUCAAGCCAUAUGUGCCAAUCAUGACUCUUCAACCCACAGAGCUUCAAUUUAUCAAGAUUCACUGCCCUCAUUAGAUUCGCUGCAUACCCAUCAGGGAACAACAAAGUUUUGAACCACAUGAGUAUCUCCUUCUUUUGUUCCCUUGUAAGAACAAACCUAGCCCGUGGCAUUGUCCAAUUUUUCCGACCCGCGGGUUGCCGCAAGUUUUGUUUUGGUCUAUCACAUAGCUUCAUCAGAUCAAGUAUGGCCUUAGUAUUAUCCUUCGUCAUCUUGGGAAUGUUGAACAAUGUGCCAAAAAUGGCCUCGGCAAUAUUCUUUUCAGUGUGCAUUACAUCAAUGUUAUGGGGAAGCUCGAGCUGGUGGAAGUAGGGGAGAUCCCAGAAGCAUGGCUUGUGAGUCCAGGUGUGUAGUUCAUUAUAUCCCAGGAAAUACCCUGGACGGUUGGGAUCGGGCUGGAGAGCAUUUAAUUCAUCACGAAUCUGUUCACCCGUCAUCUCAGGUGGUGCCGAGUGUUCGACAACUUCACCUUUCAUGAAGUUCAUCUUGUCUAGUCUGAAUGGUUGGUCAGGGCGCAAAUGUUGUCUAUGGAAAUCAAAGCAAGAAUAUUUGCCACCAUGCUGUAGCCAACGACACUUAAGGCUCGCCUUGCAUCUUGGGCAUGGGAACCUCCCAUGCACAGACCACCCCAUGAAAAGUGAAUAGGCCGGUAGGUCAUGCAAUGAGUACUGGUACCAAACAUGCAUUGUGAAGUUUUUUUUGCUAACAGCGUCGUAUGUCCGUAUCCCAUUCACCCAAGCUUCUUUCAAGUCAUCUAUCAGUGGCUGCAUGUACACAUUUAUAUUCUUCCCCGGAUACUUGGGCCCUGGAACUAUCAACGAUAGGAAUAUGUGCUUGCGUUGCAUCAGGACGCCUAGGGGGAGGUUGAGUGGAACAACAAACACGGGCCAACAACUAUAUGUCUUUGACACCAUACCAAACGGAUUGAACCCGUCAAGUCCGAUGGCGAUUCGUACAUGCUUUGCCUCUUCUGCUUUUUGAUGAUGUAUUCGAUCGAAACUCUUCCAUGCUUGGCCACAAGACGCAUGUACCAUCAUCGGCCUCCCAUGAUCAUCCUUGUCAGGUAUUUUCCCAUAUCUGUGCCAUGUCAUCAUUUUGGCCGUAUCUCCGUUCAAGAAAAGUCGUUGAACUCUUGGCAACAUUGGAAGAUACCGAAGAACAUUUGCAGGGACUUUGCUCUGCUUCUUCACACCAUCACCGAGGUCUCUCUCAACAUACCUAGAGGCUUUGCACUUGACACAAUACUUGUCGUCGGCAUACUCUUUUGUAAAUAAGAGACAUCCGUUUGGACAAGCAUGUAUCUGCUCAUAGGGCAUCUUAAGUGCACGAAGGAUUUUCUUUGCUUCGUACCAACUUUUAGCCAUUUUGCGACCUUUAGGGAGAGAGCUACCCCAGGCGGUCAUCAUCGAAUUAAAGCAAUCUCUGCUCAUGUUGAACUGGGACUUCAGAGACAUUGCUCGUGCGAUGGUUUCCAGCUGACACUGUGUCAUGUACUCGUGAAGAGGUUGUUGUGACGAAUUCAGCAUUUCUAGGUAAGCCCUCGCGGACUCCUCCGGUUCUUCCUCUGAUCCCUCUUCACGUGCAUCGUUGAAGUUAGCUACCAUGUCAGCGAUCCCGGUACCAUUGUCAUCGGUGCGCCGACGAACCACCUCCUCUCUGCUACGUUCAGGAUCGCCAUGAAAGGUCCACCGAGUAUACCCAGUCUUAAACCCGUGCUUCUGCAGGUGUUUACCCAUCGUCUUCUUCGACUGUUCUAUAUCGUUCUUGCACUUCAAGCAGGGGCACCAACUUUUUCUCUUGCCACUAGCAAAUGCUGCCUCCACAAAUUCAUUGGUCUUCAUCACCCAUUCAACGGUCAUGUCGGCCUGACUAGGGUGGCCAGUGUACAUCCACGCACGAUCACCCAUACUUGCACUAACAGUAGAUACACAAAAUUUAUAUUCAUCAAGUUAUGUAAAAUGUAAUUGCGACUAGAUACACAAGUAAUUACUUUUGUCAUAUUAUUUACGCCUUAGUUUUAUUUUUUACCAUACAAAAGAGAAACAUGCAUUCAUGGGUUAAAUCCUAUCUCUAAUAGGUAAAGAUGGGUCCUAAUCCCACCCGAGUACGUGUAGAUUGGGUUCGUUUCCCGUGCUCUACUCCGGUCUGAGGCAAAAUUUCGGCAGCACCUCCCCGCUGUUCUCUAGAUACACGUCUCGGCAACAAGCCGAGAGAAUGUGUACCCGGAGAACAAUGGGGAGGCGCUGACGAAAUUUUGCCUCGGACCGAAAUAGAGCACGGGAAAUGAAACCCAAUCUACACGUACUCGGGCUGUCCAUGGAUAACGUGGACAAUUCGAAAGGACGACGGUUAUAAAUAUGCAAAUACAUGCAUAUUUAUAAAUGUCACCCUUUCGAACGGGAGACGCCUAGGUUACGCGACUUAACAUGAAAAUAAAAUCUAGUGGCAUUGGCACGAUGACCGGAACAGAGUAAAUAGGGGGAGUGGGGAUGACAGUUGAGCUCACCCCUAGAUGAUCUGUAGAGGAGGUAGUAGACGGCGAUGGCGACGGCAACAGGACCAACAGUGCCCCUGGAGGUGAAAAGAUUGAUCCCUGCACAUCAAAGCACCAGCACAACCAACAUAAGCACUCGUAGAAAAUUUGAAAAGAAACAAAGAUGGACAAGUAUAAAGAAAGGAUGCAUCAAUCUUCUUCAUAUAAUUGGUUUACCUGCAGAUCUUAUGGACAAGCAUUUGAACAAAGGCAACACUCCUAAAACCAAAGAUAUACAGUAUCUACAUUUUAGUUACAAUAUGGAUCAGAUUUACCUAUAUUUAAUCCACAUCAUUAUUGUAAAUGUACUACGGCAGUAAGCAUGAAAUCCUUGUCGCCAUUAAUUACUUUAUAUGGUAGGCAACAAUGUUACAAAUAC
rnacentral:lncRNA from 1 species